CUCUGUGAAGCUCUGGUUUUUGAGGCGGGGGCGGGCCCUGGCACCAGGAUGUGGGAGGGACAGCAGUUGAGGUUGAGGCUAAUUUCUCUCCCGGGUGGUUGGCAGCGUUGUGUAAAUAUCAUCCCUUUUUGGACUCCGUGUUUCAUCUAAUCAAUCAGCAUGGAAAUUAAGCAGGGUUUACAUUAAUUGUCGCAUGUUCUUUCUGGUGAUGCUGGUGCUGCUGAUUUGGGAAGGGCUCUUGGAGAGCUGAUGGCAUUAGACAAAAACCUCUUUCCUAGAACUACUCUCCCUCCCAGAAAGUACGUGAGAGAGCUCAUCAGCCAGUUCGCAGCAGAGCAGCUACAAGAACCCACAGACGGUAGAAGGGGAAAUUCCAGAUGCUGAAUAAUUUGGUGGGAAGAGUGAUUAAAGUUUUCUCUUCUGAGGAAGAACCCAUUUGGGAUUAUUUUGUUCCCUUGGUCAUUUCUCUGAGGAUUACUUCACUCUCUCCAUCUUCCCGUGUGGCUGGCAGCAUGGACUUUUCUAAAAACCCCUGUUU